AACGCGAAGAACCUUACCCAGGCUUGACAUACAGUGGAAGUUGCCAGAGAUGACAACGCCUCGGGCCGCUGACAGUGCUGCAUGGCUGUCGUCAGCUCGUGCCGUGAGGUGUUGGGUUAAGUCCGCAACGAGCGCAACCCUUAUCGUUAGUUGCCAACAGGUAAAGCUGGGAACUCUAGCGAGACUGCCUGGGUUAACCAGGAGGAAGGUGAGGAUGACGUCAAGUCCGCAUGGCCCUUAUGUCUGGGGCUACACACGUGCUACAAUGGCCGGUACAGAAGGCAGCGAAACCGCGAGGUGAAGCAAAUCCCAAAAGCCGGCCCCAGUUCAGAUUGUAGUCUGCAACUCGACUACAUGAAGACGGAAUUGCUAGUAAUGGCGAGUCAGCAACAUCGCCGUGAAUACGUUCCCGGGCCUUGUACACACCGACUGUAC
rnacentral:rRNA from 1 species